AUUGAACGCUGGCGGCAUGCUUUACACAUGCAAGUCGAACGGUAACAGGGAGCUUGCUCCGCUGACGAGUGGCGAACGGGUGAGUAAUGCGUCGGAACGUGCCGAGUAGUGGGGGAUAACGCAUCGAAAGGUGUGCUAAUACCGCAUACGAACUGAGGUUGAAAGUGGGGGACCUUCGGGCCUCACGCUAUUCGAGCGGCCGACGUCUGAUUAGCUAGUUGGUGAGGUAAAGGCUCACCAAGGCGACGAUCAGUAGCGGGUCUGAGAGGAUGGUCCGCCACACUGGGACUGAGAAACGGCCCAGAGUCCGACGGGAGGCAGCAGUGGGGAAUUUUGGACAAUGGGCGCAAGCCUGAUCCAGCCAUGCCGCGUGUCUGAAGAAGGCCUUCGGGUUGUAAAGGACUUUUGUCCGGGAGCAAAUGCUGGUGGCUAACAUCCACCGGGGCUGAGAGUACCGGAAGAAUAAGCACCGGCUAACUACGUGCCAGCCGCCGCCGUAACAC
rnacentral:rRNA from 1 species